UUGUUUGUCUUUAAAGAAGCCACCCGGGGUUGGGGACCCAGACGCCGCCGCCCGAGGCUUCCCGGGGCGCCCUCUCCCCCCUCUACCCGGCAGCACUCCGUUCAGUUCCUGCCUCACUUUUUGCGUUUCCUUUUGGCGGAAUCUGGCCUUCUCGGCUCCGUCUCCGCUCAGGCUGGCUCCCGGGAGCCCAGAAUGGGGAGGGAGCCUAGUCUACGCAAGCUCUGAAGGCAGAUUCACUUGAUAUACCGACUGGAACCCUCGGAGGAGGAGGCGGGUUGGGGCCCCGGCGUACCAGGAGCUUCGCGUUCUCCUGCCUCCGGCUGUCUCUCCAAUCGUGCGUUCGCUGGAGAGGGGUAGGCCUGGCCUUUUCGCUUCCAGGCCGCUUUCACAAGGGCCAGGCUUUGUCCCCACCUCUAUCCCAACCUCAGGGUCUCCGCGGACUGCAGCGCCGCUGGGUGGGCCCGGUGGGAGGCUCCGGCAGGAGUCCGGCGCCCAAGAGCCAGCCCGGCAGAAGCGGAAUCCCAGCGCCUGGAUGAGAACCGCCUGGCUGCCGACAACAGCGCUCCUCAUCUGAGGCUCUGGUGGUGGACGCCGCAGUCUGAGAGGGACAGAAAGUCUCCCAGCCCUCCUGUUGGAAGGUUCUUCUCAGUUUAAGCAGAGGUCUUGGGUCCAGACCAGCUCUCAGCUCCUGCAGGAAGCCCACCCUACAAGGUCUAAGGAGAAAUCUCUUGGGCACAGGACUUUCUCUUUUUUUCCAAGCCACCCCCUUGGAACUAGCACCUCUACUUCUGGCCAGCAAGCGGGACUGCUCCCCAGAAGCGUGCGCGCGCAGGUCGCCAUCCAGGCGGGUCUCUGCGCUUUUGCGGUGAAGCGGCAGCUGCCAAGCCCGAGGCUCCUCCGCAGGGGUCGGACUGGGCAGGAUUGGAGGAGUAAGUCAAGCUCCCGCGAGCCCAGAGUUUUUGCUCCUCCCUGUCUUCCACGACUUGCUCUGGAGAGGAGCCCGGGAAUCGAUGCACAAUAAAUUCUCCAUCGGGUUCUCCUGACCUGGCUUUCCCGCCUAAGGAGGACGAGAGCUAGCAGAGGAUGCAGGGUUGGGGCGGCGGGGGGGGNGGGGGGGGGUCUACAAGGGCGACUUGACUCGCUGGUGCAAGGUGGACUGGCCGAACAGAGUUGAUUUCAGAGCUGGGGAGGAUGCAGAAGAAUGCAGCAGGGCCGGUGUCAAGCAAGAGAAGCCACAGUCUCUGUCAAGCAGGGCACAGAUGAACGGGAGGAUGACACUGUCAAGGCUUAUGACCCACGAUCUGACCUCCUUUUGUUGGAAGGAUAGGAAAACAACAUGCAGAAUUAAACAUUUCCUGCAGCAAAA